AACGAACGCUGGCGGCAGGCUUAACACAUGCAAGUCGAGCGCCCCGCAAGGGGAGCGGCAGACGGGUGAGUAACGCGUGGGAAUCUACCCAUCUCUACGGAAUAACGCAUGGAAACGUGUGCUAAUACCGUAUACGUCCUUCGGGAGAAAGAUUUAUCGGAGAUGGAUGAGCCCGCGUUGGAUUAGCUAGUUGGUGGGGUAAAGGCCUACCAAGGCGACGAUCCAUAGCUGGUCUGAGAGGAUGCUCAGCCACACUGGGACUGAGACACGGCCCAGACACCUACGGGAGGCACCAGAGGCGAUUAUUGGACAAUGGGCGCAAGCCUUAUCCACCCAUGCCGCGUGCGUGAUGAAGGCCCUAGGGUUGUAAAGCUCUUUCACCUCUGAAGAUGAUAACGGUAACCGGAGAAGAAGCCCCCGCUAACUUCGUGCCAGCCGCCGCCGUAAGAC
rnacentral:rRNA from 1 species